GAGCAUGUCCUGAGCUUGGUGGCCGGUCUUUGCACAUUCAGUAUUCAGUACCUUCUGUUUGUCAGGUUGCAGUGGAUGACUCAAUUGAGGUGUCGAUGGAAUCUUCAGAGUUAGAUAUUCCUGGUCUUUACUUGAUUCAUGACUUCAUCAGUGUCAAAGAGGAGGAGGAACUACUUGCAGCAGUUGAUUCAAGGCCUUGGCAAAGACUUGCUAAAAGAAGGGUGCAGCAUUAUGGUUAUGAGUUCCACUAUAAUACGAGGAAUGUCAACACAAAUCAGUACUUGGG
rnacentral:misc_RNA from 1 species